UUUCCCUGUUCCCGAACCCCAAUGUUCCCAAACCCCAAAGUGCCUUUUCCCUGUUCCAAAACCCCAAACUGCAUGUCCCUGUUCCCAAACCCCAAAAGUGCAUUUCCCUGCUCCCAAACCCCAAUGCUCCCAAACCCCAAUGUUCCCCAACUCCAAAGUGACUUUUCCCUUUUCCCAAACCCCAAACUGCAUUUUCCUGUCCCCAAACCCAAAUGUUCCCAGACCCCAAACUGCAUUUCCCUGUUCCCAAACCCCAAAACUGCAUUUACCCUAUUUCCAAACCCCAAGGUGCAUUUUCCCUGUCCCCAAACCCCAAACUGCUGAGACCCCUGGAUGGCUUUGGGAUGACUCCUUGAGAGCAGCUCCAGUGGGAUCAGGAGUUUUGUUUUCCUGCCCACCUGCUCAGGGUUUGCUCCUGGCAAAGCUGGGUUUGUGUUUCCUCACUGAGGCAAUUUUGCUGGGUUUUUAAUUUUUAUUUUAUUUUAUUUUAUUUUAUUUUAUUUUAUUUUAUUUUAUUUUAUUUUAUUUUAUUUUAUUUUAUUUUAUUUUAUUUUAUUUUUAUAUUUUUCUGGAGCCUUUCUGGGCAAUACCUUGCCCCUUUGCAUUUCUCUCAGUGCUGUCUCUGUGCCUGCCCAGGUGUUUGCCCUCUGUUUGUGCUCUGCUGUGCCUGCAGAGCUUUUCCCUCCCCUUUGUCCCCACUGGAAGGGAAUUCUCAGGUCAGCAGCCAGGAGAAACAGCCUGGAAAACAACUUAAAGAGCAGAGCAGAUCAGCUGAGGUGUUUGAUUCAUUGUUUGAUUCGUUUGGAUUCCUGAAUGCAUCCUGGAGGAAUUUAUCUCGCCGGGGUCAGGAGUUUCCCAGCAAGCAGCAAUUUCCAGUUGGUUCAAGCCCUUGGCUUUGUGGCCUGGAGUGGUGCAGAGGAGAUCAGAGUGUGCCUGAGGUGCCUCUUCACUCUGAGUGUGCUGCUGCCUUUGUCCCUCUGCCAAUGGCCAGGCCAGAGAGCAAAUUGAGAGGGAUUUGUGUACACAGGGAUUGGGGCAGUCUGCUCCAGUGGCUGGAGAGCCCAGGAACCCAGUGCUCCNNNNNNNNNNNNNNNNNNNNNNNNNNNNNNNNNNNNNNNNNNNNNN
rnacentral:lncRNA from 1 species